rnacentral:rRNA from 1 species
GAUGGUGGUUAUGGCGAUAAGGAAACACCUGUUCCCAUCCCGAACACAGUAGUUAAGCUUAUCUGCGCCGAUGGUACUGCUCUGGUAACGGAGUGGGAGAGUAGGUCACCGCCAUCA